UUUCCCUCUCUCUACUUAAUACGCUUGAACUCAUCCUCAUUCACUCCAAAUUACCGCUGGACUCUUUUCCCUCCAUAUGCCACCUUAAUUUGCUCUCAACCAUUGGAAAUUUCUGCAUACCACUCCGAUCCAAUCACCCACUCCAAAAGUGAGAAGCUGCCGCAGCCAACCUGCAGCCAAUGAAGCCCCACCAUAACUAUCACUUUUUUUUUUUUUUGGGAUGUUGAGCAUCUGGUUUUAUAUUGCUAUGUGAGAGAAUAAAAUGCCUUAUAGAAUUAUUACCCAUUGUAGGUUGCACCAUACAAGUCCGGAUUGGUCUGCACUGCCAUGAAAUGUUUUUAGUGUGAAGCCGGAAAAGCUCUGUCACCACUCCAAUGAAACCCAACCGUUUCUAUCACUACGUGCUUGUUUUUAGGAUGUAGAGUAUAUGAUUUUGUAUUGUUAUACGAGAGAAUGAAAUGCCUUAUAGAAUUAUUACCCAUUGUAGGUUCCACCAUAGAGGUCUGGAACGGUCUGCACUGUCAUGGUGAUUAUUAUCAGCUUGCUCAUAAACGAUUGGCUAUUGUAGACCCGGCUUAAUUAGGAGAUGCUCUUGGCCCUUCAUCUGAGGUUGGUUUCCAAGCCAUUGCUGAAGCUCUUGGACUGGCUGCUGUUAAGGCAAUAGUAGCCAUCACUGCCAUAAUUGCUGGUGGACGUUUGGCUUAACGAUUGCAUAACAAUUUCAAAGAACUAUUGGAUAAGUGUGAAAAAGAAGAACUACCUAUGAAGAAAUGGCCCUAAAGCUAAUGACAAACACAAUGUGAAGAAGAAGAAUUAUCCAUGAAGAAGAACUUUCAUGUGCUUUGAUUUGUAAUUUUUUUCAUUAGAUGAAUAAUGACCCAUUAUAUCAUAUUUAUUGUUAAUUGAUAUAUU